CAGAGUGUGGCUAAAUAGCAAAGCAACUCCCUUACACUGAGAAGAUAUCCGUGCAAUUCG
rnacentral:tRNA from 1 species